UCCCGAGGCGUUAGCUGGGGACUCUGCUGCGGAAAGUUCCCAAUCCCCAGCCGCAGGUAAUGGAGAGGGAAUAGAGAGGUUCCCCUGUUUGCAUCAGCAAAUGCGAAAACAUAAUAGCAACAGCAGCGGUAUCCUCUCUCCGGAGCGGGGUUUCCAAUGACGCUAACAUUCUUUUUCCUUUAAGUAUUGAAUGGUCCCCUGCGGCUUCCUGGUAAUGAAUGACCUGAGAGUAACACCGCCACAACCUGCGAGAAAAGGAGAGCCCUUUCCCCAACCCGAGAUCUGCAGGAUUGAAAUGAAAUAUUUAGAGUUCUUCCAGCUGACUCAUCAGAACCCUGGAGCAUUUUUUAAAUGACGAAAAUGGAAGAAAAGAACUUUAAAACAAUUUUAAUAUGGAAAGAAAUAAUCAAAGGAAGAUGAUUAUGGAAUCUCAUUUACCUACUGAAAUUAUAAUAUAAUUUUGAAGAUUGGAUGCAAAUAAUAAAUGAAGAAAACUAAACUAACAACAUUUAACUAGGCACCAAGACAUAAAAAUCAGUAAUGACCUUUUCUUAUGUUUGUGUUUUAUUUUAAA